UCCCAAGCGUUGUUCGGAUUCAUUGGGCGUAAAGGGUGCGUAGGCGGCGCGGUAAGUCGGGUGUGAAAUCUCGGGGCUUAACUCCGAAACUGCAUUCGAUACUGCCGUGCUUGAGGACUGGAGAGGAGACUGGAAUUUACGGUGUAGCGGUGAAAUGCGUAGAUAUCGUAAGGAAGACCAGUGGCGAAGGCGGGUCUCUGGACAGUUCCUGACGCUGAGGCACGAAGGUCAGGGGAGCAAACGGG
rnacentral:rRNA from 1 species